AUGAUUUCUUCUCGUUGAUUUGAGGGUAAGGGUUUCGCGUUUUUGAAUUUUUUUUUUUUUUGCAGGUCAUGAGGGAGAAGACGAACAUGGUGAAGUCGCAGUGGUCUGAUGGAGCUCACAAUUUAGGGUCUCUUUCAUUCGCAAUCUCGGUUCGCAAAUUAGUUUUGUGACUUGGGGGUUUAACCUGCUUCUUUCUCUUUGCAAGUGUAUCGUGAUGGCUUUUUCGAAGGGGAAAGCAAAAUUCAU
rnacentral:lncRNA from 1 species